CUUCGGGUAAUGAGGAUGGCGGACGGGUGAGUAACGCGUAAGGAACUUGCCUCUUGGACUGGGACAACUGUUGGAAACGACAGCUAAUACCGGAUAUUAUGAGAUUCUCGCAUGAGAAACUUAUGAAAGCUAUAUGCGCCAAGAGAGAGCCUUGCGUUCCAUUAGCUAGUUGGUGGGGUAACGGCCCACCAAGGCGACGAUGGAUAGCCGGCCUGAGAGGGUGAACGGCCACAAGGGGACUGAGACACGGCCCUUACUCCUACGGGAGGCAGCAGUGGGGAAUAUUGGACAAUGGGCCACAAGCCUGAUCCAGCAAUUCUGUGUGCACGAUGAAGGUCUUCGGAUUGUAAAGUGCUUUCAGUUGGGAAGAAGAAAGUGACGGUACCAACAGAAGAAGCGACGGCUAAAUACGUGCCAGCAGCCGCGGUAAUACGUAUGUCGCAAGCGUUAUCCGGAUUUAUUGGGCGUAAAGCGCGUCUAGGCGGAAAAAUAAGUCUGAUGUUAAAAUGCGGGGCUCAACUCCGUAUUGCGUUGGAAACUGUUUUUCUAGAGUACUGGAGAGGUGGGCGGAACUACAAGUGUAGAGGUGAAAUUCGUAGAUAUUUGUAGGAAUGCCGAUGGAGAAGUCAGCUCACUGGACAGAUACUGACGCUGAAGCGCGAAAGCGUGGGGAGCAAACAGGAUUAGAUACCCUGGUA
rnacentral:rRNA from 1 species